rnacentral:rRNA from 2 species
AUCCACAGAAGAAUCCAGAGAUGGAUUUGUGCCUUCGGGAACUGUGAGACAGGUGCUGCAUGGCUGUCGUCAGCUCGUGUUGUGAAAUGUUGGGUUAAGUCCCGCAACGAGCGCAACCCUUAUCCUUUGUUGCCAGCGGUCCGGCCGGGAACUCAAAGGAGACUGCCAGUGAUAAACUGGAGGAAGGUGGGGAUGACGUCAAGUCAUCAUGGCCCUUACGACCAGGGCUACACACGUGCUACAAUGGCGCAUACAAAGAGAAGCGACCUCGCGAGAGCAAGCGGACCUCAUAAAGUGCGUCGUAGUCCGGAUUGGAGUCUGCAACUCGACUCCAUGAAGUCGGAAUCGCUAGUAAUCGUGGAUCAGAAUGCCACGGUGAAUACGUUCCCGGGCCUUGUACACACCGCCCGUCACACCAUGGGAGUGGGUUGCAAAAGAAGUAGGUAGCUUAACCUUCGGGAGGGCGCUUACCACUUUGUGAUUCAUGACUGGGGUGAAGUCGUAACAAGGUAACCGUAGGGGAACCUGC